CAGGCGUUAGUUUACUUAAAAUGGGCGCUUUGGGAGCGUCUGAAUCUAAUAAAUCUUAGAACGCCUGA
rnacentral:tRNA from 1 species